rnacentral:tRNA from 1 species
UCGACUUUAAAAAUCGUGAGGGUUCAAGUCCCUCUAUCCCCAAAAAGGUCCAUCU